AUGUUGAUGCAAGACUACUUCGCGGACAAUCCUACCUAUACGCCGCACCUCUUCCAGAGAAGGUAUAAAAUGCACUGAUCCCUCUUCAUAAAAAUUGUGCAAGUUUGCGAGGCCAAUUCUUGGUUUUUUACUCAAAGGAGAAACGCCACGAGCUUGUUGGGUUUUAGCGCAUAUCAAAAAAUCUCCGCAGCUAUGCGGGUGAUUUCAUAUGGCAUUCCGGAUGACUAUGUCGAUACUACAAUUGAGUCAGUGCGUAGGUUCGCCAAAGUGAUCAUCUAUGUCUUUGGUCAUGUCUAUGUUCGUGCACCCAACGAGGAAGACACGAAAAAGUUGAUGGCAGGAAAUGAGAAGCGAGGUUGGCCCGGCAUGCUAGGAAGCGUUGAUUGCAUGCAUUGGACUUGGAAAAACUGUCCAAAGGCAUGGCACGGGCAGUUUUGUGGCAAGCCUUGUGAUGCAACAAUUGUGCUAGAGGUCGUAGCAUCCGACGAUUUAUGGAUUUGGCAUUAUUUUUUGUAUGCCGGGUACUCUCAAUGA
rnacentral:rRNA from 1 species